rnacentral:ncRNA from 1 species
CUACUAUAAAGAGUGCGUGAGGGAGUAAGCCCUAUGAUCGCACACCAACCUACCAAAAGGCAAGGUGGUAAAGCUUAACCGAUGGUGUGUAUAUAUUUAGACUGGUCAACAUCUAUCGGUAACGAUGGGUG